GGGGCUGUAGCUCAGCUGGGAGAGCGCUGCAAUCGCACUGCAGAGGCCACCGGUUCGAUCCCGGUCAGCUCCAC
rnacentral:tRNA from 1 species